UACAGAGGGUGCAAGCGUUGUUCGGAAUUAUUGGGCGUAAAGAGCUCGUAGGUGGUUUGUCACGUCGGUUGUGAAAACCUGCAGCUUAACUGUGGGCGUGCAGCCGAUACGGGCGGGCUAGAGGCAGGUAGGGGAGAGUGGAACUCCUGGUGUAGCGGUGAAAUGCGCAGAUAUCAGGAAGAACACCGGUGGCGAAGGCGGCUCUCUGGACCUGUUCUGACGCUGAGGAGCGAAAGCGUGGGGAGCGAACAGG
rnacentral:rRNA from 1 species